AGAUCUGAGGGCGAUCUGGCUGUGACAUCUGUCACCCCAAUGAUCGCCAAAGUUGACUGUGCUGAUCUGGGUGGCUAGGUGGUCCCCUUCCACCUUCACCACUCCGUGUGCAUCUGUCUGGAGGCUGAGUGCUGUGCUGGUUGGUAGAAGAGGACAUCCAACCUGGACAGGGCAGGACCCUUCCUCAGCCUAGGAUAUGGGAAUAGCUGCAUUCCUUGCUAGAACCUCCAAACAAGCUCUCAAGGUCUACAAAUCAAUAAGUAAAAGAACAUCUCAUGUAUUUUUAUCUUUUUUCACUUAUCUUUAAAAGGCCAGUUAGU
rnacentral:snRNA from 1 species